UUCUCGCGCUUGUCCCUCAUUCCCCACGCAGGCCUCUAGUUCUCCAUUUCAGAAUUCAUUCUAUUCCUGUGCCCGAAAUAAAACCCACGUUUUUCUUGCUUGUAAUUUAAAGGUUGCAAGAAAAACUCCUCGGCCCCUCGGACCAUCUUUCCUGUUUCCAAAUGCCGGGGACCAGUGUCUGUGACUGCGCCGCCUGCCUGAGGGCAUGUACUGAAAAGCCCUGCGACUCCAACAUGUGGGACUCACAAGCACCUUGGACAGGCCUCAAAACGCGGCUGACAUACAGAAUUUUUACCAUUAACGACCUGAGGCAGGACUGGUGGAGGUCAGUUCAUUAGUUACUGAUCUCAAGAAACAAGUCAGGACUAUUUUCUAAUGUGCUUCUUUCAAGUUAGUGUGGAAAGAGCUGAUGCAUCUGUUGUAGCUGACGGAAUUUAAGGAACUGAAUAAUUGACAAGAUUUCCAGAAAAGCAGGGUCGCCAGAUAAUGCUACCUGUUUGCGAAUGAUUGUUACCGUAAUGCUCUAGAGAGCUAAUCCUUUCUCGGCCUAGUCAGAUGAUUUUAAAUCAUUUGAUUUUACAGAGCUUUAGUUUCAGUUUUUUAAAUGAAAAUGGGGAUGGGAUUAGGUCAUCUUCUAACACCCACGACAGCCAUAAAUUGAUAAUCUAUGGAUCCAUAUUUAAAGUUACUGAUAAAAAUAACCACAAUUGACCAGCCUCCCUUCCCUGUUAGGAAAUGCUUUAUAUUUUAAUUUAGCAACCCAUGUGACCAACCCUUUUAGAAUUGAACUGGCUCUCCCUAGGAAAGGUUAGAAAUCUAAUCAGUUAUAGUAAGUUUCUGUUAACAAAUGGGGAGUGGUCGACUUGGAGUUUGGAAAAGGGGAGCGUAAAGUCUAAAAGUUUGUUAAUUUAUCUAGCCGUUGCUCCAGGAGGACCUGUGUUAUAGUUUGGAAACAUUUACAAAGCAAAAUCCUAUUACAUAGAUUUGACCAUGAUCAACAACUUAUUACAUAUCCUCUCACAUUUUCUUGUUGGCCUAAUCAAUGCUUAUAUAUAUGAAACAAACAUAUUUGUUUUAUUUUUACCAAUGUAUGUCUAACUAUCCAGAUUGAUUUGAAAUUUCCUUUCUCUUCCACUUAACAAAGUUAUUUACCAAACUCUUACUAUGUGCCAGGCAAUGCUAGGUGCUGGAAAUUCAUCAUAGUCACUCACAUUAUUGAAUACUACUGUAUACCUUGUAAUGGGCCACGUACAUUAUGUUCCUGAUUUCAUUCCCUUAAUAAACUUAGGAGGGUAAAUUCUCCCUAAUCUGGGAUGUAGGAAAGUUGAAUACAUUGACUAAAAUUAUAUAGGCCCUGCAAGUAAAGUGCUGAAUUAGAAUGUCAUAUAAUCACUGUAUUUACAUUUUAAUAUUCUUGAAGGUAACAACCUUUUCUUUAAAAAUCUAUCAUACAUUUGUGUUGUUCACUAUGUUUCUUAUGUUUCCAGAGACCACUACAGUGAUUGGCUCUGUAGUAGGCAAUUCACUUAUUUAUGGAAUAUUCAACAUUAGAUAUAUGAAUCAUGGAUGACAUAUUUUGGGUCCCCUUCAGUGCCCUGUUGGACCUUGAUAUGGUUUGGCUCUUUGUUUCCAUCCAAAUCUCACCUUGAAUUGUAAUCCCUGUAAUCCCCACAUGUCAAGGAUGGGACCAGGUUGAGGUAAUUGAAUCAUGGGGGUGGUUUCUCCCAUGCUGUUCUCAUGAUAAUUAGUGAGUCUCGGGAGAUCUGAUGGUUUUAUAAGCAUCUGGCAUUUCCCCUGCUUGCACUCAUUCUCUCUCCUUCUGCCCUAUAAAAAAAAAAAAAAAAAAGGAAAAAAAAGAGUAGGUUAGGCUUUGAGUACAUCAAGAGGCUGGGAAAUGGGUUUUGCUAGCUAAGAAAGUAACAAAGACAUUUUCUCUUUUCUGUGACUGUGGCUAAGACUAGUCCUGUCCUGUCUUUGCCAUAAACUAUGUGGGAAAUGGCUUUCCUUCACAAAAUGAGUCCCUAAAGAGAAGGGAGACUGAUGGCCAUCUCUCUCCAUGUGGCCUGAAGAGCCAGGAGGUAGGAAUAAGGGGAGUCAAGCAAGGCCUUAACCAGACUCUAAUACGCAAGCUGGCCCUGUUGCCUUGGGAAGAAUGUGGCUCCGGUGAGUAGCAGCAGGUAGAGGUGUAUAAUCUGGGAUAUGUGCAGCUCUGAUGCCUUCCGUUUUAGAAAGGACUCUGCUUUGCUCUGGCCUUUAAUUUAUGCCACAUAGGCACAGGGGCUACAUAACAUAGUGGUUUACAGCAAGGAUUUGGGAUCCAGACUGGCCAGAUUUGAACUCCAGCACUAUUCCUUGAUACCUCUGAAACUUGGGACAAGUAACUUAGUCACUAUGUAUGAAAAGAGAUAAUAAUACUAGUACCUUCCUCAUACUACAAGACUACAAGAUGUGGUCAAGACCAGAAAUAUAUAAGCACUGUAAAAACAAUGUAAAACCAAAUGAAAAUUCUUCAUUUGUAUCUUCCAAAAAUAAAAAAAUAGCUAUUUGGGUUUUUUUUUUUUUUUUGGCAGAGCUAGCUGAGGUUUUAUUUUGGACAAAAAAAAAAAAAGCAAUUGAAUUGUUUUGUAGCUGGAGGCAUGGGGCAAAGGGGGUCCCCCGCGGUGGGCUGAGGG
rnacentral:lncRNA from 1 species